GACGAACGCUGGCGGCGUGCUUAACACAUGCAAGUCGAACGGCAAGGCCCUGCUUUUGUUGGCUGCUCGAGUGGCGAACGUGUGUGUAACACGUGAGUAACCUGCCCUUGACUUUGGGGUAACUUCAGGAAAGUGUGGCUACUACCUGCUAGGAGCUCCUGCUGCAUGGUGGGCGUUGGAACGUUGCGGCGGUUGGGGAUGGACUCGGGGCUUAUCAGCUUGUUGGUUGGGUACUGGCUGACCAAGGCAUUGACGGAUAGUCGGCCUGAGAGGGUGACCGGCGACAAGGGGCCUAAGAGAGGGAGCAGACGGGUACGGUAGGCAGUAGGGGGGAGUAUUACACAGUGAGCGGAAGCGUGAGGCAGAAGCGCCGGGUGUGGGAAGAAGGCCUGGGGGGUGUAAACAGCUUUAGGCUGAGACGAAGCUUGAGUGACGGUAAUGGGUAAAGAAGCACCGGCUAACUACGUG
rnacentral:rRNA from 1 species